AGUGAACGCUGGCGGUAGGCCUAACACAUGCAAGUCGAACGGCAGCACAGGAGAGCUUGCUCUCUGGGUGGCGAGUGGCGGACGGGUGAGGAAUACAUAGGAAUCUACUCUGUCGUGGGGGAUAACGUAGGGAAACUUACGCUAAUACCGCAUACGACCUACGGGUGAAAGUAGGGGACCUACGUGCCUUGCGGGAUUCAAUGAGCCGGUGUCGGAUUAGCUAGUUGGCGGGGUAAAGGCCAACCAAGGCGACGAUCCGCAGCGGGUCGGAUAGGAUGAUCAGCUACACUGGAACGGAGCAACGGUCCAGACUCCUACGGGGGGCAGCAGUGGGGAAUAUUGGACAAUGGGCGCAAGCCUGAUCCAGCCAUACCGCGUGGGUGAAGAAGGCCUUCGGGUUGUAAAGCCCUUUUGUUGGGAAGGAAAUCCAGCUGGCUAAUACCCGGUUGGGAUGACGGUACCCAAAGAAUAAGCACCGGCUAACUUCGUGCCAGCCGCCGCCGUAA
rnacentral:rRNA from 1 species